rnacentral:rRNA from 1 species
UACAGAGGUCUCAAGCGUUGUUCGGAUUCAUUGGGCGUAAAGGGUGCGUAGGUGGCGCCGUAAGUCGGGUGUGAAAUUUCGGAGCUUAACUCCGAAACUGCAUUCGAUACUGCGGUGCUUGAGGACUGGAGAGGAGACUGGAAUUCAUGGUGUAGCGGUGAAAUGCGUAGAUAUCAAGAGGAAGACCAGUGGCGAAAGCGGCUCACUGGAUCGAUACUGACGCUGAGGUGCGAAAGCUAGGGUAGCAAACGGG